CGGGGGAUAACUAUUGGAAACGAUAGCUAAUACCGCAUAAUAUCUUUGAUUGCAUGAUUGAAGUUUGAAAGAUGCAACUGCAUCACUACCAGAUGGACCUGCGUUGUAUUANCUAGUAGGUGAGGUAAAGGCUCACCUAGGCGACGAUACAUAGCCGACCUGAGAGGGUGAACGGCCACACUGGGACUGANACACGGNCCAGACUCCUACGGGAGGCAGCAGUAGGGAAUCUUCGGCAAUGGGGGCAACCCUGACCGAGCAACGCCGCGUGAGUGAAGAAGGUUUUCGGAUCGUAAAGCUCUGUUGUAAGAGAAGAACGUGUGUGANAGUGGAAAGUUCACACAGUGACGGUAACUUACCAGAAAGGGACGGCUAACUACGUGCCAGCAGCCGCGGUAAUACGUAGGUCCCGAGCGUUAUCCGGAUUUAUUGNNCGUAAAGCGAGCGCAGGCGGUUGGAUAAGUCUGAAGUUAAAGGCUGUGGCUCA
rnacentral:rRNA from 1 species